rnacentral:rRNA from 1 species
GACGAACGCUGGCGGCGUGCCUAACACAUGCAAGUCGAACGAAGCACUGUGUGUUGAGACUUCGGUUGAUUCACACUUUGACUUAGUGGCGGACGGGUGAGUAAUGCGUGAGCAACCUGCCUUGGAGUGGGGGACAACAGUUGGAAACGACUGCUAAUACCGCAUGAUGUAUUCGGAGGGCAUCCUCUGAAUACCAAAGAUUUAUCGCUCUAAGAUGGGCUCACGUCUGAUUAGUUAGUUGGUGAGGUAACGGCUCACCAAGACUGCGAUCAGUAGCCGGACUGAGAGGUUGAACGGCCACAUUGGGACUGAGAUACGGCCCAGACUCCUACGGGAGGCAGCAGUGGGGAAUAUUGGGCAAUGGGGGAAACCCUGAUGCAGCAACGCCGCGUGAAGGAAGAAGGUCUUCGGAUUGUAAACUUUUGUCGCAAAGGAAGAUAAUGACGGUACUUUGUGAGAAAGCCACGGCUAACUACGUGCCAGCACG